GGUUUCCGUAGGUGAACCUGCGGAAGGAUCAUUACCGAGUGCGGGUCCUUUGGGCCCAACCUCCCAUCCGUGUCUAUUAUACCCUGUUGCUUCGGCGGGCCCGCCGCUUGUCGGCCGCCGGGGGGGCGCCUUUGCCCCCCGGGCCCGUGCCCGCCGGAGACCCCAACACGAACACUGUCUGAAAGCGUGCAGUCUGAGUUGAUUGAAUGCAAUCAGUUAAAACUUUCAACAAUGGAUCUCUUGGUUCCGGCAUCGAUGAAGAACGCAGCGAAAUGCGAUAACUAAUGUGAAUUGCAGAAUUCAGUGAAUCAUCGAGUCUUUGAACGCACAUUGCGCCCCCUGGUAUUCCGGGGGGCAUGCCUGUCCGAGCGUCAUUGCUGCCCUCAAGCCCGGCUUGUGUGUGGGGUCGCCGUCCCCCUCUCCGGGGGGACGGGCCCGAAAGGCAGCGGCGGCACCGCGUCCGAUCCUCGAGCGUAUGGGGCUUUGUCACAUGCUCUGUAGGAUUGGCCGGCGCCUGCCGACGUUUUCCAACCAUUCUUUCCAGGUUGACCUCGGAUCAGGUAGGGAUACCCGCUGAACUUAAGCAU
rnacentral:rRNA from 2 species